rnacentral:rRNA from 1 species
ACUCCUACGGGAGGCAGCAGUGGGGAAUAUUGGACAAUGGGGCAACCCGUGAUCCAGCCAUGCCGCGUGAGUGAUGAAGGCCCUAGGGUUGUAAAGCUCUUUUGUGCGGGAAGAUAAUGACGGUACCGCAAGAAUAAGCCCCGCAGCUUACGUGCCAGCAGCCGCGGUAAUACGAAGGGGCGUAGCGUUGCUCGGAAUCACUGGGCGUAAAGGGUGCGUAGGCGGGUUUUUAAGUCAGGGGUGAAAUCCUGGAGCUCAACUCCAGAACUGCCUUUGAUACUGAAA